rnacentral:lncRNA from 10 species
AUGGUGUCUUCCUCUCUGAACCGGCCAGAAAGGGGGCUGGAAACAGUGAAUUUCAUAACCAGAAGCGGAAGCUGAAGAGACCAAGAUGAAUCGGAAUUCCUUACUGUUCCUGAUGGUUGGAAGGAAACAGCUCUUUCCAAAGAGGACAAUCCCAGAGGACUCUUAAAGGAAAGCAAUUAUAUAACUUUGUUCCCAAAAUACAGAGAAGCUUACUAGAAAGUGCUGGCCAUUGGUGCAGAAAGCCUUGAACGAACAUCAAUGUUAACGCAACCCUGCACUGGAUCCAGGGCAGCAUGACUGUUUGAACUGAGGUUAGCAAGGACUGUUUCAUUUGAACAGGCAGUGCAAGUUCUUCCAGAUGAUGUUGCAUGUAACAUCAUUAAAAUAGGUUAUUUAGUAAGAAAUAAAGAGAUUUGUAAAAAGACAAUGGCUUAUUGGUCUCAAAGGAUCUACACUGAAGAACUCUUAAUGUACUUGCUCCAUUAUGAUGCAGGGAAACACAGUUUCAGCCACUGGACCUUUUAGUGACUUAAAAAAGAUUUGAAAAGUAGUCCUAUAUACUAUGAAGAAUAUGCAUCCUAUUUAUAAUAUUAAAACCUUAAUGACUAAAAGAGUUGGCAAAAGACUCUGAAUUUCAACCACAAAGUUGGGAGAGAUUUUUGCCACAAUUCAAACAUACAAAUAUGAAUAAAUGCAAGGAACCAAAGAAAAAAAAAUGUUAAGAAAGAAUAUACACCAUUCCCACCACCACAGCCAGAAAGUCAGAUUGAUAACGAACUGGCUAGUGGUGAAUACUUUUCGAA